GUUGGUUAUGCCGUUUGGUCUCACAAAUGCACCGAGCACAUUUAUGUGUUUAAUAAAUCAUGUUUUACGUGCUUUCAUAGGAAAAUUUGCUGUAAUUUACUUUGAUGACAUUCUGAUUUAUAGCAAAGACCUAAGUGAGCAUUUAGAACAUUUAAAGUGCAUGCUUGUUGUGUUAAGAAAUGAACAAUUGUAUGCUAAUUUUAAAAAUUGCAUGUUUUGCAUGGAUAGAGUUAUUUUUCUAGUAUUUAUUGUAAGUGCUAAUGAGGUAGAAGUGGAUGAGAAAAAGAUUAAAGUUAUUAAAGAAUGGCCAACACCUAAAAGUAUAAUUGAGGUUAGGAGCUUCCAUGGUCUGGCUAGUUUUUAUAAGUAGUUUAUGAGAGACUUUAGCACAUUCACAACACAAUUAAUUGAAAUUGUUGAGAAAAGCGUAGGUUUUCACUGGAGGGAAAUACAAGAACAUGCAUUUAAUACCAUCAAGGAUAAAUUGUGUAAAACACUUGUUUUGACAUUACCUAACUUUGAUAAGACGUUCGAGAAUGAGUGUGAUGCAUCAGGAAUAUGUAUUGGACCAGUGUUAUGCAAGAAAGGAGACCAAUUGCUUACUUUAGCGAGAAGUUGAGUGGAACUGCACUGAGCUACCCAAUGUAUGACAAGGAGCUGUAUUCCCUUGUUCAAGCAUUGGAGACUUGAUAGCAUUACUUGUGGCCUAAAGAAUUCAUGAUACACACCGAUCAUGAGUCUCUAAAGCACUUACGAGGUUAAGGUAAGUUGAACAAGUGACAUGCGAUGUGGAUGAAGUUCAUAAAGAUGUUUCCUUACGUCAUCAGGUAUAAGCAAGGUAAUGAAAACGUAGUUGUAGAUGCAUUGUCAUGAAGGUAAGCGCUUCUUAACUCUUUAAGUGCGAAAUUACUUGGUUUUAAGCUUAUUAAGAGCAUGUAUGAAAAUGACAUUGAUUUCUCAAACAUGUGUAAUUCAUGUGCUAAAAUGGCUGUUAAUAAAUUUUAUAGACAUGAGGGAUAUUUGUUUAGGGAAGAUAGGUUGUGCAUUCCAAUUUGUUCAAUGCAUGAAUUAUUGGUAAGGGAAGCACACAGUGGGGGUUUAAUGAGUCAUUUUGGAAUUUUAAAGACUUUAGACAUGUUAGGGAAACACUUUUAUUGGCCUAAAAUGCGUAGUGACAUAGAAUGGAUUUGUGAGAAGUGUAUAACUUGUAAACAGGCUAAAUCAAAAGUUUUACCCCAUGGCUUGUAUACACCUUUAUCUGUGCCUAGUGAACCUUAGGUGGAUAUUUCUAUGGAUUUCGUGUUGGGAUUGCCUAGGACAAAGAAAUGACGGGAUUCUAUCUUUGUAGUGGUUGAUAGGUUUAGUAAAAUGACUUCAUACCAUGUCACAAUACCGAUGACGCCACUAAAAUUGCUAAUUUAUUCUUUAGGGAGAUAGUACAUUUGUAUGGAGUCUCUAAGAGUAUCGUGUCGGACCGAGAUGUUAAAUUUUUGAGUCAUUUCUGACGUAUUUUGUGUAAUAAGUUAGGAACUAAAUUGUUAUUUUCUACAACUUGUCACCCACAAACGGAUGGUCAAACUGAAAUAGUAAAUAGGACCAUGACUCAAUUGUUUCGAACAAUGAUUAAUAAGAACUUAAGAAAUUGGGAAGAUUGCUUGCCAUUUAUUGAGUUUGCUUAUAAUCGUGUUGUACAUUCGACUACUUCUUAUUCACCAUUUGAAAUUAUGUAUGGAUUUAAUCCACGAACUCCAUUGGAUUUAUUUUUUUUUGCCUAUGAAUGAACGAGGUAACAUGGAUGGUAAGAGGAAAGCUAAGAUGGUGAAGGCACUUCAUGAGAAAGUCCGUACGCAAAUUGAAGAGAAGAGCAAGCUCAUCUCAUCGAAGGCAAAUAAAAGGCAAAAGUGUGUGACAUUUGAACCCAGACAUUGGGUGUGGGAGCAUUUCAAGAAGGAACGUUUUUCGAAGCAGCAAAAGUCUAAAUUGCAACCGCGGAGAGAUGGUCCUUUCCAAAUCACCGAGAAGAACAACGAUAAUGCCUACAAAGUGGACUUACCAGGUGAGUAUAAUGUAUCGGCUGAUCUUUUCCUUUUCGAUACAGGUGCAGAUUCGAGAACGAAUCGUUUUGAAGAAGGAGGGGAUGAUGUGAUCCAAGAGUUGAGCUAGAUGAAGGCGAGUGCGGGAUGAGACCCAUUGAUAAUCGAAGGCGGACCAAUGACGCCAUCGAGGGCAAAGCAAGUGAAAUAGGCGAUGAGAUUGCUCAUUCAAUAAACCAUUGAUGAGACGAUGUUUGGGACUCAAAAUGGGACAAGUUUUGUAUUCGGGUCAAAAGUCGAAAUGAAAUGGAUCGACGCGUUACAAGGGGCCGAAAAAGAGGCUGAAUCGCAAAACCAUGCUAGCGCACCCCUUUAAUGGCUUGCGAUCACACAGGCAUAGUCAAGGAAUUCGUUGAGGAUUUCUGGGUCUACCAUGCGACCGCAUGGAAAACAACCAUGCAGCUGCAUGGUUAUAAAAAUUGACGCGUUUUAAAUUUUUUCGCGAAUUUCCUUAUUUUGUUAGAGUUUAAUAUCAAUUAGACUUCUUUCCAUAUUUUGAUGAUUUUGCACCAUUUUAGCUAGAUUUUUUAGCUUUAGUAUAAAUACUCUUUCCAUUACAUUGUG
rnacentral:lncRNA from 1 species